CCUACGGGGGGCAGCAGUGGGGAAUAUUGGACAAUGGGGGCAACCCUGAUCCAGCCAUGCCGCGUGUGUGAAGAAGGCCCUCGGGUUGUAAAGCACUUUCAGUGAGGAAGAACGCCUGGUGGUUAAUACCCAUCAGGAAAGACAUCACUCACAGAAGAAGCACCGGCUAACUCCGUGCCAGCAGCCGCGGUAAUACGGAGGGUGCGAGCGUUAAUCGGAAUUACUGGGCGUAAAGCGCGCGUAGGUGGCUUGAUAAGCCGGUUGUGAAAGCCCCGGGCUCAACCUGGGAACGGCAUCCGGAACUGUCAAGCUAGAGUGCAGGAGAGGAAGGUAGAAUUCCCGGUGUAGCGGUGAAAUGCGUAGAGAUCGGGAGGAAUACCAGUGGCGAAGGCGGCCUUCUGGACUGACACUGACACUGAGGUGCGAAAGCGUGGGUAGCAAACAGGAUUAGAUACCUUUGUAGUC
rnacentral:rRNA from 1 species